rnacentral:tRNA from 1 species
GCUGGUGUAGCUCAGUUGGUAGAGCAACUGUUUCGUAAACAGUAGGUCAUCAGUUCGAUUCUGAUCACCAGCU